CACGAAGUUAGCCGGUGCUUAUUCUUUGGGUACCGUCAGAACUCCGAAGUAUUAAUCCGAAGCUUUUCUUCCCCAACAAAAGAGCUUUACAACCCGAAGGCCUUCUUCACUCACGCGGCAUGGCUGGAUCAGGCUUGCGCCCAUUGUCCAAUAUUCCCCACUGCUGCCUCCCGUAGGAGUCUGGACCGUGUCUCAGUUCCAGUGUGGCUGAUCAUCCUCUCAGACCAGCUACGGAUCGUCGCCUUGGUGGGCCUUUACCCCGCCAACUAGCUAAUCCGGCGUCGGCUCAUCUUUCUGCGUGAGGCCUUGCGGUCCCCCACUUUCACCCGUAGGUCGUAUGCGGUAUUAGCGUAAGUUUCCCUACGUUAUCCCCCACAAAAAGGCAGAUUCCGACGCAUUCCUCACCCGUCCGCCGCUCGCCGGCAUCCCGAAGGACCCGCUGCCGCUCGACUUGCAUGUGUUAGGCCUGCCGCCAGCGUUCACUCUGAGCCAGGAUCAAACUCU
rnacentral:rRNA from 1 species